UUGCCAGUGAAAGUCUGGUCGGAGUAAUUGCCAGUGAGCUCCGUAACAAGCGUCCAGUGCUUUUGGGCAACUGAUUGUGCUGAGGCGAAGUAUGCCUAUGUGAAAUAGGUGCAAGUUAAUAGUCCGUAACAUUA
rnacentral:ncRNA from 1 species